rnacentral:tRNA from 1 species
GCACCGGUGGUGUAAUGGUGUAGAACGUUCCCGCCUGGUCUGCUGGAGAUGCGGGUUCGAGUCCCGCCUGGCGCU